rnacentral:rRNA from 1 species
GGGUUGUGAGGUUAAGCGACUAAGCGUACACGGUGGAUGCCCUGGCAGUCAGAGGCGAUGAAGGACGUGCUAAUCUGCGAAAAGCGUCGGUAAGGUGAUAUGAACCGUUAUAACCGGCGAUGUCCGAAUGGGGAAACCCAGUGCAAUUCGUUGCACUAUCGUUAACUGAAUACAUAGGUUAACGAGGCGAACCGGGGGAACUGAAACAUCUAAGUACCCCGAGGAAAAGAAAUCAACCGAGAUUCCCCCAGUAGCGGCGAGCGAACGGGGAGCAGCCCAGAGUCUGAAUCAGCUUGUGUGUUAGUGGAACGGUCUGGAAAGUCCGACGGUACAGGGUGAUAGUCCCGUACACCAAAAUGCACAGGCUGUGAACUCGAAGAGUAGGGCGGGACACGUGGUAUCCUGUCUGAAUAUGGGGGGACCAUCCUCCAAGGCUAAAUACUCCUGACUGACCGAUAGUGAACCAGUACCGUGAGGGAAAGGCGAAAAGAACCCCGGCGAGGGGAGUGAAAAAGAACCUGAAACCGUGUACGUACAAGCAGUGGGAGCACCUUCGGGUGUGACUGCGUACCUUUUGUAUAAUGGGUCAGCGACUUAUAUUCUGUAGCAAGGUUAACCGUAUAGGGGAGCCGCAGGGAAACCGAGUCUUAACUGGGCGUUAAGUUGCAGGGUAUAGACCCGAAACCCGGUGAUCUAGCCAUGGGCAGGUUGAAGGUUGGGUAACACUAACUGGAGGACCGAACCGACUAAUGUUGAAAAAUUAGCGGAUGACUUGUGGCUGGGGGUGAAAGGCCAAUCAAACCGGGAGAUAGCUGGUUCUCCCCGAAAGCUAUUUAGGUAGCGCCUCGUGAACUCAUCUUCGGGGGUAGAGCACUGUUUCGGCUAGGGGGUCAUCCCGACUUACCAACCCGAUGCAAACUACGAAUACCGAAGAAUGUUAUCACGGGAGACACACGGCGGGUGCUAACGUCCGUCGUGAAGAGGGAAACAACCCAGACCGCCAGCUAAGGUCCCAAAGUCAUGGUUAAGUGGGAAACGAUGUGGGAAGGCACAGACAGCCAGGAUGUUGGCUUAGAAGCAGCCAUCAUUUAAAGAAAGCGUAAUAGCUCACUGGUCGAGUCGGCCUGCGCGGAAGAUGUAACGGGGCUAAACCAUGCACCGAAGCUGCGGCAGCGACACUAUGUGUUGUUGGGUAGGGGAGCGUUCUGUAAGCCUGCGAAGGUGUGCUGUGAGGCAUGCUGGAGGUAUCAGAAGUGCGAAUGCUGACAUAAGUAACGAUAAAGCGGGUGAAAAGCCCGCUCGCCGGAAGACCAAGGGUUCCUGUCCAACGUUAAUCGGGGCAGGGUGAGUCGACCCCUAAGGCGAGGCCGAAAGGCGUAGUCGAUGGGAAACAGGUUAAUAUUCCUGUACUUGGUGUUACUGCGAAGGGGGGACGGAGAAGGCUAUGUUAGCCGGGCGACGGUUGUCCCGGUUUAAGCAUGUAGGCUGGUUGUCCAGGCAAAUCCGGAUAAUCAAGGCUGAGGUGUGAUGACGAGGCACUACGGUGCUGAAGUAACAAAUGCCCUGCUUCCAGGAAAAGCCUCUAAGCAUCAGGUAACAUCAAAUCGUACCCCAAACCGACACAGGUGGUCAGGUAGAGAAUACCAAGGCGCUUGAGAGAACUCGGGUGAAGGAACUAGGCAAAAUGGUGCCGUAACUUCGGGAGAAGGCACGCUGGUGUGUAGGUGAAGUCCCUGCGGAUGGAGCUGAGACCAGUCGAAGAUACCAGCUGGCUGCAACUGUUUAUUAAAAACACAGCACUGUGCAAACACGAAAGUGGACGUAUACGGUGUGACGCCUGCCCGGUGCCGGAAGGUUAAUUGAUGGGGUUAUCCGUAAGGAGAAGCUCUUGAUCGAAGCCCCGGUAAACGGCGGCCGUAACUAUAACGGUCCUAAGGUAGCGAAAUUCCUUGUCGGGUAAGUUCCGACCUGCACGAAUGGCGUAAUGAUGGCCAGGCUGUCUCCACCCGAGACUCAGUGAAAUUGAACUCGCUGUGAAGAUGCAGUGUACCCGCGGCAAGACGGAAAGACCCCGUGAACCUUUACUAUAGCUUGACACUGAACAUUGAGCCUUGAUGUGUAGGAUAGGUGGGAGGCUUUGAAGCGUGGACGCCAGUCUGCGUGGAGCCAACCUUGAAAUACCACCCUUUAAUGUUUGAUGUUCUAACGUUGGCCCCUUACCGGGGUUGCGGACAGUGUCUGGUGGGUAGUUUGACUGGGGCGGUCUCCUCCCAAAGCGUAACGGAGGAGCACGAAGGUUAGCUAAUCCUGGUCGGACAUCAGGAGGUUAGUGCAAUGGCAUAAGCUAGCUUGACUGCGAGCGUGACGGCGCGAGCAGGUGCGAAAGCAGGUCAUAGUGAUCCGGUGGUUCUGAAUGGAAGGGCCAUCGCUCAACGGAUAAAAGGUACUCCGGGGAUAACAGGCUGAUACCGCCCAAGAGUUCAUAUCGACGGCGGUGUUUGGCACCUCGAUGUCGGCUCAUCACAUCCUGGGGCUGAAGUAGGUCCCAAGGGUAUGGCUGUUCGCCAUUUAAAGUGGUACGCGAGCUGGGUUUAGAACGUCGUGAGACAGUUCGGUCCCUAUCUGCCGUGGGCGCUGGAGAAUUGAGGGGGGCUGCUCCUAGUACGAGAGGACCGGAGUGGACGCAUCACUGGUGUUCGGGUUGUCAUGCCAAUGGCACUGCCCGGUAGCUAAAUGCGGAAGAGAUAAGUGCUGAAAGCAUCUAAGCACGAAACUUGCCCCGAGAUGAGUUCUCCCUGAGACUUUAAGUCUCCUGAAGGAACGUU